UAACACAUGCAAGUCGAGCGGUAACAGAAAGAAAGCUUGCUUUCUUUGCUGACGAGCGGCGGACGGGUGAGUAAUGCCUGGGAAUAUGCCUUAGUGUGGGGGAUAACUAUUGGAAACGAUAGCUAAUACCGCAUAAUGUCCUUGUUCAUUACGAGCGGGACCAAAGAGGGGGACCUUCGGGCCUCUCGCGCUAAGAUUAGCCCAGGUGGGAUUAGCUAGUUGGUGAGGUAAAGGCUCACCAAGGCAACGAUCCCUAGCUGGUCUGAGAGGAUGAUCAGCCACACUGGAACUGAGACACGGUCCAGACUCCUACGGGAGGCAGCAGUGGGGAAUAUUGCACAAUGGGGGGAACCCUGAUGCAGCCAUGCCGCGUGUAUGAAGAAGGCCUUCGGGUUGUAAAGUACUUUCAGUCGUGAGGAAGGCAUUGUAGUUAAUAGCUGCAGUGCUUGACGUUAGCGACAGAAGAAGCACCGGCUAACUCCGUG
rnacentral:rRNA from 1 species